rnacentral:rRNA from 1 species
AAAAAUGUUACUCAUACGCAUCAGACGGAUGCCUCGACUCUAGAAUCCGAUGAAGGACGUGGCCAGCUGCGAUAUGCUUGGGUGAGCCGCUAGGCAGGCGCUAUCAACCCGAGAUUUCCGAAUGGGGAAACCCCUAUGAGGUUAUGCUCAUAGACUUUGUGUUUACACAUUGUGGUUACUCUGUGAACUGAAACAUCUAAGUAGCAGAGGAAAAUAAAUCAAAAGAGAUUCCCUUAGUAGUGGCGAGCGAACAGGGAACAGCCCAAACCUCACUAUAUUAUGGUGAGGGGUUGUAGGACUCCAUAAGCGAUUAAUGUAUGUUAGGCAAACGACCCUGGAACGGGCGGCCGAAGAGGGUGAGAGCCCCGUCGCCGAAAACAUACAUUACGUGGGAGUAUCCUGAGUAAGGUCGGACACGUGAAAUCCGGCCCGAACCUGGGAGGACCACCUUCCAAGGCUAAAUAGUUCUAGAGAUCAAUAGCGAAUAGUACCGCGAGGGAAAGGUGAAAAGCACCCCGGAAGGGGGAUGAAAUAGUCUCUGAAAUCUGUUGCGUCCAAAGAAUGGGAGCCCUUUAUGGGUGACCGUGUGCCUUUUGCAUAAUGAGCCAACGAGUUAGUUGUAUGUGGUCGGCUAAGGGAGUCAAAACCCGGAGCCGGAGCGAAAGCGAGUCCGAAUAGGGCGUUUAUGAUCGCAUGCACUAGACCCGAAACCGGGUGAGCUACCCAUGGGCAGGGUGAAGGUAGUCGGAAGACUACUGGAGGCCCGCACCCACGCAUGUCACAAGAUGCGGGGAUGACCUGUGGGUAGGGGUGAAAAGCCAACCGAACCCGGAGAUAGCUGGUUCUCUUCGAAAUGCCUUUAGGGGCAGCCUCUUUGUACACGAUCGGGGGUAGAGCUACUGUUUGGAUGAGGGGGUCUUCCCGACCUACCAAUUCCUGAUAAACUCCGAAUACCGAUCCUUUGGCAAAGGGAGUGAGACGGUGACGGCGAAUCGCCAUCGUCAAAAGGGAAACAACCCAGACCAUUUGCUAAGGUCCCUAAUACAUGCUCAGUGGUAAAGGUGGUGCGAUUGCUCCGACAACCAGGAGGUUGGCUUAGAAGCAGCCAUCCUUUAAAGAUAGCGUAACAGCUCACUGGUCGAGGAGUCGUGCGCCGAAAAUUUAACGGGGCGAAGCAUGUAACCGAAGCAGUGGAUAUUUUAUAUGGUAGAAGAGCGUUCCGUUCAGCAGUGAAGCGAUACCUGUGAGGGGUCGUGGAGCGGACGGAAGUGAGAAUGUUGGCAUGAGUAACUACUAGGCAGGUGAAAACCCUGCCCACCGAAUCCCCAAGGUUUCCCACGCAACGGUAAUCGGCGUGGGGUUAGUCGGUCCUAAGGCCAGGCCGAAAGGCGUAACCGAUGGAUAACAGGUCAAUAUUCCUGUACUUCAUAAAGAUCGCCCAAGGGUAUGACUAGAUAGUUCCGUUCGCCUCUGUCCCGUUUACGGGAUAUGUGUUCGGGAAAGGAUGGUUUUACUCUAGGAGCGGUGGGACGGAGUGGGAAGACCAGAGCGUGUGCAUUGACUGCACGUGGAACAUGUUAGGCGUUGAGACCGGUAGGAAAAUCCGCCGGACGAGCCGAGCAUGGAUACCAAUUGUUCACCGCAAGGUGGAUUAGUCUGGCUCUUUGCGCUUCCAAGAAAAGCAUCGCUUUCGAGAGCUUUAUGAAACCGUACCGCAAACCAACACCGGUGGGGUGGUCGAGUAGACCAAGGUGAACGAGAGAACUCGCGUUA